GACGAACGCUGGCGGCGUGCUUAACACAUGCAAGUCGAGCGGUAAGGCCCUUUCGGGGGUACACGAGCGGCGAACGGGUGAGUAACACGUGGGUGACCUGCCCUCAGCUCUGGGAUAAGCCUGGGAAACUGGGUCUAAUACUGGAUAUGACUCCACGGUGCAUGUCGUGGGGUGGAAAGCCUUGUGCGGCUGAGGAUGGGCCCGCGGCCUAUCAGCUUGUUGGUGGGGUGANGGCCUACCAAGGCGACGACGGGUAGCCGGCCUGAGAGGGCGACCGGCACACUGGGACUGAGACACGGCCCAGACUCCUACGGGAGGCAGCAGUGGGGAAUCUUGCGCAAUGGGCGAAAAGCCU
rnacentral:rRNA from 1 species